rnacentral:rRNA from 1 species
GACGAACGCUGGCGGCGUGCUUAACACAUGCAAGUCGAACGGUGAAGCAGAGCUUGCUCUGUGGAUCAGUGGCGAACGGGUGAGUAACACGUGAGUAACCUGCCCUUGACUCUGGGAUAAGCGUUGGAAACGACGUCUAAUACUGGAUACGACGUCCGAAGGCAUCUUCUGGUUGUGGAAAGAAUUUUGGUCAAGGAUGGACUCGCGGCCUAUCAGCUUGUUGGUGAGGUAAUGGCUCACCAAGGCGACGACGGGUAGCCGGCCUGAGAGGGUGACCGGCCACACUGGGACUGAGACACGGCCCAGACUCCUACGGGAGGCAGCAGUGGGGAAUAUUGCACAAUGGGCGCAAGCCUGAUGCAGCAACGCCGCGUGAGGGAUGACGGCCUUCGGGUUGUAAACCUCUUUUAGUAGGGAAGAAGCGAAAGUGACGGUACCUGCAGAAAAAGCACCGGCUAACUACGUG